rnacentral:lncRNA from 1 species
GUCAGGAGAUCGAGACCAUCCUGGCCAACACGGUGAAACCCUGUCUCUACUAAAAAUACGAACAAACAAAAACAUCUCUGGACCAAUCUGGUCUUAAUUUCUUCUAUCCAGGCCUUUUGGUUCUCCCUGGCUGGCCAUGGGCUUCACUUCUCUGAUGGCUCAAUUCAUUCUUUCCUAAGAUCUUCAAGUUUAUAGUGAAAUUUUCUCUCAAGUGAGCUUUUUUCCUGCUUAUUCCAAGGCUGAUUUAAUUAUAACCAUUCUUUAAGUAAAAAAGGACUUAUUUAUUCAAAAAUUCUGAGUACCUUUUUCAUGCUAGGCAGCACUGAGAAUGUCAUGGUGAGUAAAAUGAAUAAAGGCUGUGCCCUUAUAGAGCUUACAUUCUUGUGGGGAAUCAGCAGACUUAAAAUGUUUUAAACUGUCAGAUACUAGUAAAUUCAACAAAGGGGAAAAAAAGCAAGGCAAGUGAAGGUCUGUAUUAUAGAGAAUAAUGGGAGAGAUGGAGAAAAAGGGUUGCAGUAUUUCCAAAGCCUUGAGAAAGGAAAACAGGACCUAUAUGCACUUAUCAACUUAAAAGACUUGAUUCAAUAGUAAGAACUUUUUGGUUUGUUUUUUGUUUUUUGGUUUUUUUUUUUUUUUUUUUUUGGUCAUUUGCUGUAUUUUAAAACCUCGUUCAAACUAGGUGGACAGGAAGUAACUCAUGGGUGAUUAUGGCUUCAAAAGUCUGCUUUUUGUCAUAUUGAUUGAGCAGUGAACAGUUCCUAGUUAAGUACCAUAAGAUGGUGCUGUUAAGGUUUGUUGUUUUUUUUCUGUUUCAAAGCUCUUAAGGCUUUUGGGGGGAAUAAUACACGUAUCUUUACCAAAUAAAGUGAAAUAUAUUUAAAAUAAUUAUAUUUUAGAAUAUCAAUAAUACAAACUUUUAAAUCAAUGUGUAAAAUGUUUUGCUGGUAAAAGCACAAUGAUUAUGGGAAGAAACAAACUCAUUGUACUAGGUUUAAAAUGUUUUGGGAACAUGAAACCAAAAUGUCACAGUCUGAGGGAAAGCGUGCCAAGCAUUAUUAACAUAAAAGAGGUUAAAUAGGUGAGAGAUUAAGUUUACAGAUUAAAUUGGAAAUAAAUGAAUCUUUGUUUUUGUCACAGGAAAGAUCCCCCCAGGGAGAGGAUACUAAAAUGUAGCUAGAAGUGCAAAAUGUUUUAGUAGAGCUUAACUCCAGCGAAAGGAGAAGGAAGGGUGCAGAAUUAGGGGAAACUGUCAGACAGUGAUGCAGAGUUGACAAAGUUGCUGUCAGCCUAGUGGGAGCUUCGGAGCAGAGACUCCCUGAUAGAGUGGUAUGUUAGGCAGAAAUGGCUAGACCACUGUCCCACUGCAUUGUCAGGUAAUUGGCUGGGGAUCACCUCACCUGGCCAGAAAGUUGAGGUAAACUCUGACAAAGCCAAUAACGAGGCUAUCAGCUAGCCACAGCUGGGUAGCAAGUCUUGCAGCUGGUAGCACGUCCUUUCUUGAGGGGAGAUCUGAGCAUCACAUCUCUGCCAAAAUUUAUAAAGAAAACAUCCUAUUUAUAGAAUUAAAAUGAAGAAGUCCUAUAUAAUUUGCUUAGAAUGAUUAUACUGUGAUUACUUGAACUGCAAAGUUAGAAGUAACUUAGGUGCUCAGUAAAUGGUACAUUUCUGAAGGGUAAAGUUGGAAGAAAAAGAUUAUUAUUUUUGCUUGAAUUUUGCUCUGAAUAGCAGAGCAGUUGUUCUCAUUAUGUGCUAUUUGCUGGUGCAGAAGAUCAGUCUUUGAACAUAGUAAUAAGAAAUAUACAUUUAUUUAUUCAAAGGAAGGCAUGUGCCAGAUGCUGGAUUACAUCAGAAUGAGCAAGAAAAAUACAGCAUCUGUCCAGGUGGAACUUACAGUCUGGUGAAUACACACAAAUAGGUAAAUUCUCUUUGCUGUAGGAGCAACACCUAAACCCAGAUUUGAGCUACUGGAAAAGUUGAAAAUUAACAUGCAGCUUGCUUAUUUCUGUUGGACAACACUACUGUAGACCAGCGGGUCUCAAACAGAGCAGAGAGUUUAUGAACACACAGAUUGCUGGGCCCUAAAAAUUUAGUUCCUAGUUCCCAGGUGGUACUGGAUGCUGCUGAUCCAAUGACCACAUUUUAAGAACCACUGCUUUAGACCAGGCCCUAAGUAGGGCCAGAUAGUAAGUGUUUUAGGCUUGGGGUAGAGGUGAGGGUGGGGAAGUCGCUUAACCCAGAAUUCUAUAACCAAUGAAAAUUUUCUUUAAGACUGAAGAUGAAAUACAAUUUUCAAAUGAAAGAAAACAAAAAAUUCGUUGUCCAAAGACCUGCACUAAAAGAAGCUUUUCAGAUUGAAAGGAAAUAAUGCAAAUGGAGAUUUAGAUCCUUAUAAAACAAUGGAGGGUGUCAGAAAUGGUAGAUAUAUGGGUCAAUGCAAAAGGCUUUUUAAUUUUUUUCCUGAUUUCUUUUUAAUACAUACAACUUUAUAGUAAGAAUAACAACUGUAUCUUGUUGGGUUUAUAAUGUACAUAGAUGUAAUACAUAUAAACAUGAUAGCAUAAUGAUUAGAAAUGGGAUUUGGGCCUACAGUUGCAAGGUUGUAUUAUAGUACAUAAUAUAUGUUAUUAUUAUAUAUAAAUAUAUAUAUAUAUUUGAGACAGAGUCU